rnacentral:lncRNA from 1 species
CGAGCUUCUACAAUAAGCGGUCUCCAUCCAGGCUUCCAUGGCAACCGAUCUCCAUUCGACCUUCUACAGUAAGCAGCCUCCUUCCAGACUUCUGCAAGAAUCGGACUUCAUCCGAACUUCUAUAGUGGAUGGAUUCCAGAUGAACUUCUACAACGGAUGGGCUCCAGCAGCCAAAUUUCUAUAGUGACUGACUGUCUCCGGUGUCUUCCAUACCUCUCCAGCCAUCAACCUUCAACAGCACCAACCGAACUUCAACAGUGCCAACCAUACCCCUCCAACGGACAAAUUUCCUCCAGACCCCUCCAGCGGUCAACCUUCCACAGUGUCCUCCAGACUCCUCCAGUGGAUGAACUUUCACAAUGCCUUUCGAACUCUUCUAUCGGUCAACCUUCUAUAGCGCCUUUUGAAUUUUACUAUCG